UCGAGGGGGCUCUGCCCCCGUCAAGAUACCACCCCUUGCUUUUGAGUACCGUCUGUUUCCUCGGCAGGCUCGCCUGCCAAUGGGGACCACAACCAAACCUUUCUGUAAUGCAGUAAACGUCUGAUAAACAAAAAAUCAAAACUUUCAACAACGGAUCUCUUGGUUCUGGCAUCGAUGAAGAACGCAGCGAAAUGCGAUAAGUAGUGUGAAUUGCAGAAUUCAGUGAAUCAUCGAAUCUUUGAACGCACAUUGCGCCCUUUGGUAUUCCUUAGGGCAUGCCUGUUCGAGCGUCAUCUAACCCUUCAAG
rnacentral:misc_RNA from 1 species